AGAGUUUGAUCCUGGCUCAGGAUGAACGCUGGCGGUGUGCUUUAGGCAUGCAAGUCGAACGAUCCCGCUUCGGCGGGAGAGUGGCGGACGGGUGAGUAACGCGUGGGAACCUACCCUUUGGUGGGGAAUAACCCCGAGAAAUCGGGGCUAAUACCGCAUAAUCUCUUCGGAGAAAAGGCCGUAACUGGCCGCCGUUGGAGGGGCCUGCGUCCUAUCAGCUUGUUGGUGGGGUAAAAGCCUACCAAGGCGACGACGGGUAGCUGGACUGAGAGGUCGGUCAGCCACAAGGUCACUGAGACACGGGGCCUACACCUACGGGUGGCAGCAACCGGGAAUCUUGCGCAAUGGGCGAAAGCCUGACGCGGCGACACCGCGUGGGGGAUGAAGGCGUACAACGUCGUAAACCUCUUUUAUUUGACUAUCGUGGUCAAGAGAAUAAGCACCUGCAAACUACGUGCCAGCAGCCGCGGUGAUACGUAGGGUGCAAGCGUUAUCCGGAUUUAUUGGGCGUAAAGGGUUUCGUAGGCGGCUUGGUAAGUAGUGGGUUAAAGCUCCGAGCUUAACUCGGAAAAGGCUCAUUAUACUACCAAGCUAGAAAACUGUCGGGGAGGCUGGAAUUCUGCAAGUAGGGGUGAAAUCCGUUGAUAUGCAGAGGAACACCGAGGGCGAAGGCAGGCCUCUAGGCAGGUUUUGACGCUAAGGAACGAAAGCUAGGGUAGCAAAAGGGAUUAGAGACCCCUGUAGUCCUAGCCGUAAACGAUGCCUGCUAGAUUUUCUCGACUUUAAGUUGGGAGAGUCGUAAGCUAACGCGUUAAGCAGGCCGCCUGGGAAGUACGACCGCAAGGUUAAAACUCAAAGGAAUUGACGGGGAGGCGCACAACCAGUGGAGCAUGUGGUUCAAUUCGACACGAAGCGUAGAACCUUACCUGGGCUUGACAUUCUAGUGACCGCUGCCGAAAGGUAGUUUUUCCGGCUUCUAGCCAGAACACUAGAACAGCUGCUGCAUGGCUAUCGUCAGCUCGUGCCGUGGGGUGUUCCCUUAAGUGGGGUAACGAGCGCAACCCUUAUCCCGUGUUAGAUUUGUCACGGGAGACUGCGGUCAAAUCUUUGGCCGAGGAAGGAGAGGACGACGUUAAGUCAGCAUGGUGUUUAUGCCCAGGGCGACACACAUCCUACAAUGGGGAGGACAGCGGGUUGCCAAACCGCAAGGUGGAGCUAAUCCCUUAAACCUCUCCUCAGUUCGGAUUGGGGGCUGAAAUUCGCCCCCAUGAAGCCGGAAUUGGUAGUAAUCGCAGGUCAGCAGACUGCGGUGAAUACGUUCUCGCCUCUUGUACACACCGCCCGUCAAGUGAGGAAAGUUGGGAGUGGCCGAAGUCUCUGUUAAAGGGCCUAAGCCAAGCUCAGCGAUCAGCACUAAGUCGUAACAAGGUAACCGUACUAGUACGAAUUAAGA
rnacentral:rRNA from 1 species